rnacentral:lncRNA from 1 species
UUUUUUUUUUUUUUUAAAGAGAGAAACCCUUUGAAGGGGAAGAGUGAAAAACAGACUUUUUAACCAUUAAUAAAGAAUUUACAAUCUUGUAGCAGACAUUCAGGUCUACUGACUCCUAAAAUAUUUUUGCUCCCCCCCCCCCCCCCGCCCAGUCUGUAAAUAGGCAGUUGUUCUCUGUGCUUUGACUAGUUGUGGUUUUCUAUAAUGUCCAUUUGCAGCAAAAAGAAACUCUCUAAUGAGGAGUGAGAGCUACAUUUAUAUAUGGAUAUAAGGGUCGGGGAGGGUUUGGGGUGGAAUGGUAGUAGGAAUAUGAUUAAAAUAUGUUGUUGGAAAUUCUCAAAGAGUUAGAAAAAAAUUAAACACACACACACAACUUUAUCAUAGUGUGAAAGAAACUGAGUAAAGAACAUUCUGGACUCUGUGCAAUUUACUUCCUUUUCGUAUAUUUUAAUAUGUGCUUACAUAACAAGAUGGUAAUUGGAGACUGUUCUUGAAAGUUUUAAGAAUGGGUAGCACAUGUUUCCUAUCAUGGCAUCGUAUUUUGUAGUACUUUGCCGGUUUGGUUGUUAGUGAGAGUCAGAAAUCAUGCUGUAUUCUAUUAUCUAUAGCUAUAAAGUAAUGAAGAGCUUCAGACCCCACUAAAGUAUUCCCAUUAAUGUAUGCAGCCCUAUGGUCAUGGAUAGAUACUGAAUGUGUUAAGACCUCAGUUUUCUCACUGACAAAAUCCGAUACCAGUUCCUUCAGUUACAAAAUGUGAGGACUACAGACUGUUCUCAGCAUGGCUUCUUCAUAUUCAGAAUGUUUAAGCUGUUGUUUGACUAACCUUUCUGCUACCAUAGUUAUUAACACAAGACUCUAAAAAAAUUCUAGCUGAAAGAGAAUUAAUCCAUUCAGAAUGAGGCUUUUCUCAGAUAGCAUCGUUUCCUGCUCACAGGUGUUUCAAACCUAGAUUUUGGAUUGGACUUUGAUGUAUUUAAUUACAUAAAUAUCCACAAUAUCUGAAGACGUAGUUCCCAGGAACAGUUAUUUGUGAUUAAAGAUAUCCCACAAGCUGUUGUUAAGACAUUCACAUAUGAGUCAGAGAUUGCCUUAUUUCUGUGUAUUAAAAAAUGUUUAAAACAUUCUUUUUUCAUCAAGGUUACCAUAGUAAGUAGGAAUUGUCUUAUUUUUCUCUUCAAUAUGAAUUUUGUCAUUUAUUAAAAUGGAGUUUGAACUAUUUUGUCACAUACAUUUUUCAAUUAUUAGCUGAUUUAGUCUUCAGAUACCAUAAGUUAUAUGUUUUAAAAUAAAUGAGAUUGUUAUCUUAGAGGAUUUUUCUCAGAUCCUCCCCAUUCUCUAAUCAUUAGGUCUGAGAAAGAUGGACCUAUGUAUUAAGGAGAUAAAAAGAACAAGCUGUGGGGAAUCUGACAAUGUGACUUCUGAGCACAGUAUCACCUACACUGAAGUAACACUGGGUCUGGGCACAGCGCUUACACUGCUGGACCAAAGGUGCACUGCUCUGCUCUGUGUAUUUUCUUGUGAGUGCUUUUCUUCUCUGGUCAAAGCUGUUUCAGAGCUAGGCAUGUAGUUCAGUUGGUAGAAUGCUUGCCUAGCAUGCACAGAGCCCUGAAUUCAAACCCAUAGGACAGCAUAAACCAGCGCGAUAGUAUAAAUACUUAUAAACUUUAGUUCCAGGAGAUCCAUUGUCAUCUUCUGAACUUCAUGUGCAUUUUGUGCAUGUAAUACACUGAAAUAUAUGCUGGCAGCCAUACACAUGAAAUUUUAAAAAAUUCAAAAAUUGUGACUUUAUUUUAUGAUUAAGAAAAAUAGUGUAGUUACUGAGGAAAACAAAAUAAUUGUAAUGGAAAAUAAAUUCCUUUUCAAUAUUUUCCAAAAUGAAUAUUUUAUCCAGUGCUAAUUUUGCCUCGUAAUUUUAAAUAUUAACAACCUUAUUUUAAAUAGUAGAAAUGGUUAUAAAUAUUAAGGUAUUAGGGUGUCUUGUUCUUUGCUAGUCUCCUGUUGUUUCUUUUGUACAAUGAGGAAUUAAUUUAUGACCAAAGAAAGAGAAUUUAUGUUUCACUAAGAACACUAAAUAUUAAAAAACAUAUUUUGAGAGGCCAGCCCUAUGGCUCAGUGGGUAAAUGUAUUGCCUUGAAGCCUGAUGACCUGAGUUACAUUCCCUGGACCAACAUAGUGAGAGGAAAGAAUGGCCUCCUAAUCGUUUCUCUCUGAACACACAUAUGCACACAUGCAUGCAGACACUUGGAGUUACACUUGUUUUGUUAUUUUGAAACUGUUUUUGUUAAUCUUACAAAUCUAUCUAUGAAAAUACUUUUUAUAUAACUUUAAGAUUUCUGAAAUAUUUCUGGUAGUUUUCUCCCUCCCGCCUUCCAUCCUUCCCUUCUUUCUUUCUUAGAAAACUUGCAAUAUUAGAUGGUUUUGGUGUAUUUUUGCUUUAACAUAAGCAGUUUGGUGUUAUCACUACAUCUAAAAUAAUAUCGGUUUCUCGUUUUUUAGUGAACUAUUCAAUACACCUUUUUGCAUUUUUCAUAUCUUUAACAACAAACACAAUUCUGCACUAGGGAAAGAGUAACUCUUGGCUUCGUUAACUGUGCUUGCUAGAUAAUAGAAUUCCACUUUUGGUUCCCAUUUCCAAAAACCAUGUUCAUAUUUUAAUAACACUGAAUUUUAUAUUUUAGUCCUAUCAGUCAAGGUAAAGAAAGUCAUAAUAGAAAAGUCAGUCACACGUUAGCCCAGACUAAUCUGAAACUCACUAUGUGGUUCAGCUGGCCUUGGACUCAUGGUGACCCUGCAUCUAUGCAUUUUGAGUAUGUGGAAUCAUAGACAUAAACCACCAUUCCUGCGUUUUAGGAGUUUGAGAAAUAAGUAUACACUAAGGAGUUUGUUAUUCUGAGAAACCUCUUUCAUUUUUUUGAAUCAUAUAAUGUAUUUUAAUAAAGUAUCCAUGCUCCCAAAAAUAAGACAUACAUAUCAGCAUUUUAGGUUAUGAGCUCUAUUGAUUAGAGAAAGCAAAAUUGGUCAGAUAAAUAGUUGUAGUAUUUCAAUUAUCUCAUAGGGGAAUAGAUUUUAAAGGAUCUGUUGACAAAAUGAUGGCUGAGAGGAGUAAGCUACCUCUACAAGCCAGGUCUCCAUACAUCCAAGGCAAACGCGGCUGAGACAGGGCACUGAUGAGUGCUGACUGGAGCAUGCCUUGCUGGCAGCUGGGCUGCAUCAUCACCCUGCAAUUGCCAGUUCCUUUUGAGCCUCUACUUCAUUGUCUGUUAAGUAAGGGCAGUGAAACUACUUCUUACAGAGCUGAUGAAUUGAAAUUUCUAGGCUUGAUGGGGAAGCUACACUCAUAAAAGUUCAACAGGAUGGUCAUGUAAACAAGACCAAUAUACUGACAGCACUAGUUUGCAUACUAACAUGAAUUUGGGAAAUUUUCCGAGGCACCUGGAUAAAAAAACUAUUGAUUGCUCUUUUCUGAUUCCAGGAGUUUACUACGCCUAGGCUCACUGUAAAUGAAACAUGGAUGGUGCGUUUCUAUUUUCCACUUUCAUAUAGUUUAUCUGCAUACACUUUGUAUGUGUGUGUAAAUUUAUAUUAGGGUAAAUCUUUUGCUUAUGAAACUUGCUAUUUCAAAUAUG